rnacentral:lncRNA from 1 species
UGAACAACCACUGCCACAAAACCAAAACCCUAGUUCACGCACCCUAUCGGUUCGAACAAGGGGAAAGAGAGAGGUGGAACCACGGCUGACGGUGGAACCGAUUUUGGUCACCACGGAGCUAGGGCUUGCGCGAAGGUAUGCGAGCCAGAACUGAGGGGGAUAAAAGGAGAGAGAGGCGCGGCGGUGGUGGAGCUUGAGCUUGCUUUGUUCUGCGAACGAGAAAGA